rnacentral:lncRNA from 1 species
CGCUUACGCAACUUCCGCUCUACGCAACGCGGAAGGAUUUGUAAACAAGACAAGCGGAGCGCUCGUAAAGCCAAAAAAGAAAAAAAGGAAAAAAAAAAAAAAAAAUGCCGAAAGCGCAAGAAAAGAGCAAGUCGGAUUUCUUUGUGUGGACUGACAGCGAAGUGGAGCUGCUGCUGAUGGUGACAUACGAGUACAAAGUGGCCAAAGCCAUGGAAAACGUGGACUGGGAGUCCUGCCAGAGCAAAUAUGCAGAAAUCUCAGAGAGACUCAAGCAGCAGUAUCCAGCGGCUGAGGACGAAAACAUGGUAAGAGACUACCCGCACAAGAUGGAAGAAAUCACAAAGGCGAUCGUGACAUGCAAGCUGAAGGCCAUUAGAUACAAGUACAGACGAGCCGUGGAGACUGGGAGGAAAGCCGGCCACGGCAGGGUCAUUCUCUUGUAUUUUGAGCUGUGUGAACAAAUUUGGAGAGGCUCUCCUGCCACAGCGACCGCUCCUGCUCGACUUGAACCAGAUAAGAUUGGAGGCACAACUUGUGAGUUUUUAUCUGGCCCAGAGUCGGGGAGAGAGGUGCAAGACGAAUGGGAAGUGCUUACUGAUCAGUAUUCGAAUGAGCCCGCAGAAAUCGAUAGUCGACGGGACAGAGUCGGCUCCAGGCUUUUGGGUUACAAGCAGGAGAGACGGAAAAGGAAACUAUCCACGGACAGCCAGUUUCUAGCCAUAGCCCACGAGGAGCUGAAAAUAUCAAGGCGGAUGAUGGAGAAGAUGGUGGAGACCGACAACAAGCUGUUGGGGACAAUGAACAGGCUGGCCAACAACCUGGAGAGACUGACCGACUCCAUCGCUCAGGGGUUUGCAAUGAUGCGGCAGGUGAUGCUGCAGCCUCCCCACGCCUCUCCUCUGCAUCUCUUUCCACACAGGCCAGCCACAUCCACCGCCACGCAGACAGAGGAGGCAGCGGAGGGCCUGCCCACAGUGAAGGAAGAGUACAAUCAGCAAGUUGUGAUCCAGGUCGAGGUUAAAAAUGAACAAAUAGAGUGAAGCAAAGCUCUCUCGAUUCAUUAUCAUCAUCAGCGACAGACCUGCAUACAGAAUGACUGUAUAAAGCCAGAAACCUGACUGUGUUCAUACAAGCAGCAUAUUUAUCACUCUUCAGUGGACUGAUGUUUUCCUGGAAAUGUGUCUGUUUUGAUACCCAGUUAUACUGUAGACAACAUAAAUUAAAAGAUAGGCUGUGUAAUUGAACCAAGUAAACUUCUGUUCAUUUGGUUAUGAGUGACUAUACACUUUAUUAACCGCUUAAUAUUCUGGCCCUUUCUUGGACCAAUUUGAG